rnacentral:rRNA from 1 species
CCUACGGGGGGCUGCAGUGAGGAAUAUUGGUCAAUGGCCGGAAGGCUGAACCAGCCAUGCCGCGUGAAGGUCAGUGCACUAUGGGCGUUAAACCUCUUUUGUGCGGGAGCAAUAAUGGUCACGUGUGGCCAGACGAGAGUACCGUACGAAUAAGCAUCGGCUAACUCCGUGCCAGCAGCCGCGGUAAUACGGGGGAUGCAAGCGUUAUCCGGAUUUAUUGGGUUAAAAGGGUGCGUAGGCUGUGAGGUAAGUCAGCGGGGAAAUGCCCCCGCUCAACGGGGUGGAGUGCCAUUGAUACUGCCUUGCUGGAAUGCGGAUGCCGUGGGAGGAAUGUGUGGUGUAGCGGUGAAAUGCAUAGAUAUCACACAGAACACCGAUUGCGAAGGCAUCUCACGAAUCCGCGAUUGACGCUGAUGCACGAAAGCGUGGGUAUCAAACAGGAUUAGAUACCCUAGUAGUC